rnacentral:rRNA from 1 species
UACAGAGGUCCCCAAGCGUUGUUCGGAUUCAUUGGGCGUAAAGGGUGCGUAGGUGGCGUCGUAAGUCGGGUGUGAAAAACUCGGGGGCUCAACUCCGAGCUUGCAGUGGGGUACGGGGCAGACUAGAGUGCGGUAGGGGGAGACUGGAAUUCAUGGUGUAGCAGUGAAAUGCGUAGAGAUCAUGAGGAAGACCAGUGGCGAAGGCGGGGUCUCUGGGACAGUUCCUGACACUGAGGCACGAAGGCCCAGGGGAGCAAACGGGG